UAGAGUUUGAUCCUGGCUCAGAACUAUCGCUAGCGGCGUGUUUAACACAUGCAAGUCUUACGAGAAAGCUCACUUCGGUGAGUGAGUAAAGUGGCGCACGGGUGAGUAACACGUGGAUAAUCUGCCCUUCAGUCGGGAAUAACUCAUCGAAAGAUGGGAUAAUACGCGAUAAUGCCUAUCCGUUUCGACGGAUAAGCCAAAGGUGGCCUCUCCUUGGAAGCUACCGCUGAUGGAUGAGUUCGCGCACCAUUAGCUUGUUGGUGGGGUAAUGGCCUACCAAGGCGACGAUGGUUAGCUGGUCUUAGAGGACGAUCAGCCACACUGGAACUGAGACACGGUCCAGACUCCUACGGGAGGCAGCAGUGAGGAAUUUUGCGCAAUGGGGGAAACCCUGACGCAGCAACGCCGCGUGAGUGAGGAAGGCCCUCGGGUCGUAAAGCUCUGUCAGGCGGGAAGAAAUGUUCGCAGGUUAAUAUCCUGCGUGCUUGACGGUACCGCCAGAGGAAGCACCGGCAAACUCCGUGCCAGCAGCCGCGGUAAUACGGGGGGUGCAAGCGUUGUUCGGAAUUAUUGGGCGUAAAGAGCGUGUAGGCGGCUUGGUAAGUCAGAUGUGAAAGUCCCGGGCUCAACUCGGGAAGUGCAUUUGAAACUGCCUGGCUGGAGUAAGAGAGAGGAAAGCGGAAUUCCUGGUGUAGAGGUGAAAUUCGUAGAUAUCAGGAGGAACACCGGUGGCGAAGGCGGCUUUCUGGCUCUAUACUGACGCUGAGACGCGAAAGC
rnacentral:rRNA from 1 species